GCCUGUUCUUUCGCGACAGUUGAUGAAUUUUGGCUUCUCUCGGGUUCCGUAGUGGCGCAGUAAGGUCACCUGACCACCGGCCAAACAGCUGCGAGGAUAAACAUGAUGUGGCCUUCAGGGCUGUUUCAUGGAUACCAAAUGUUAAUGGACCAAUGGACAAUGAUCUCUGCGAGAAGAUGGUGGCCUUGCCCUCAUGAGGACAGCUGGUCCCGAUUAUUGAGAUGACAGCGGUACACAGCAUGCACAAACAUCAACCCUAUCAGUCGCAGCAGAUUGCUGGUGUCCCACUCACUGUUUGAAUGAUGCUUUUUAGAUCUUCAUCAUAUGGAGGUCCAGAGGUUCACCUCCACCAGAUGAACCUGCGGAGCAGUGGCAGAGUUGCCUGGGAAGGAUCACCUCCUCGUGAGCUGAGACGAAGGACACGGGGAGCGUCUUCAGUCAGGAUUCUAGGUCAACAGGACAGUAUGUGUCUAACUGCUGAAGAGGUAUCUCCCUCUUAACCACCGGUUCUCAACCUGUGGGUCCCAAAGCUUCAUGGAGGGUUGCAAGCUCUUCUUGAUUUUCAGGGAUGUAGGAAAACUUUCAGUAUACUCAGUGAUACAAAUGAUAAAAAAAAAAAAAAUGUUGGGAACCACUGCUCUAGACCAAGACCAGUACCACCACCAUGUGGAGAGGAAGUUAAGACAUGUGGGGGAGUAAUCAGACAGGAUUCCCUGUCAGAAAGAGACCAAACCAUCUCUGCCAUCUGCAGUUCUCCCAGUUCUCCCACAGAAAGCUCCUUCACAAGUUUCUAAAGAGGCCCAGGGACAAAAUCAACCAAGGGCUGCGUCAGUGGUGUUUAUACAUGGUAACCAUUCAGAUACAAUGUGUGUCCCAUGUAUGCAUAUACAUUUAUUUCUGGCUUUUCUUGUUGCUUUCAUGCAGUACACCGAUGCAGAAGUGUGAUUAUCUUCAAUUAAACGAGUAAUGUAUUGACAAUCAAAAAGAGUUCAACUUGUUAUUCUAAAAAGCCAUCCUGCUUUUAGAAUAUGUUUAUUCCAGCAACAGAUUACUGAAUAUUUGAUAAAUUCUUCAUAUUUUCAGCCAUCUGGUUUCGUUGUGACACCAAAAGAAUCAGAAAUAGAUUCUUCAUUCAAAAUUUCUGGUGAUGUGGUCACACUGCUGAGGUGGCUGCACGAGGAACUGCACCUGCUGGAAUUUAACUGAGGAACAGCAAGCGCUCACUGACGAGUUUGCCUUGUACUCAGUUGUCGGUGUGACUCAGGCACCGUCCCAUCUGUGCAACUCUGGAGGAGUAAAAGGAGGAGAAAUUGUUGUGAGAAUGGCACCAUCUCAUCACUGGACAAAUUUUUUAACCCCUGAAUCAUCGCAUCCUGAUUGCUUUGUUUGACCAAACUGAGGCAGAAAGUCAACAGCAGCUGUGAUAGAGUCCCUGCUCUCAGCGUGGGCGUCCUGGUGGGUCUUGGUCAAAGACCGUUCUUCACCAAUCACAGCACGAGAGAUGUCAUCUGCAAGAGCUUCAGCCGCCAGAAAGAUGUCCCCCUGCAGCCGCUCGUACUCAGAGUCUGACACCUGAACCAAAAGAGGUUCUAUGAUGUCAGCCACCUCCUUUUACCUGGGCAGCUUUGGCUUUUGCUUCUGCAAAGCUGUCACAGCCACCAUCAGUGUCUCUCAUCCCCAGAUCUUUAAGCUUUUUGUCCUCCUGCAUAUGUCUACGUGGUCGACAUGAGCAAAAUAUGUCAGGCUUGAUACAGAGGAAAUCAUUGCCUGGAGAAUAUUAUGUGUAAAUUGAUGAAUGUACAUUUAAAAUAAUGCAUUGGAAAACUAACGCAUGAUGGGGCUUCUAUGAGGUUUGAAGUCAGUCUGCAUCAUUUUCUGUUUCAUGUUAUAUAUUAAUUUUAUGACAGUUUCCUGUCGUCCACAGUCAAUACAGAGUGAAAAUGCAUUACAACAGAAGACACAGGGUUAAACAUGCCUCUGUCCCAAUUCUUUGUUGCAGGCAUCAAAUUCAGGAUGACAAGAAACCAUUAACAAAUUAAAGGACAAUAGACAAAUGUUACAAUAUGUCAAUGUCCUUGCAAUAUUGAGUGCUCUACAUAUCAGUAAUAAUAGUAUUCUACUGUGACAAAUACAUAUUUAUUUCUGUGCAAUAGCAUUAAUGCUUUAACCACCAUGUACAAUUUCUGUAAAGUCUGUGAAAUUCUACAGAAUUUUUGCCAGUAUAUUUUCAUGACAAUAUGUAUUUUUUACAUAUUUUUUUCUCUUAUGUAGUGCUUUGUAUAAAAUGUACACAUAUAGUCAGCUUUUAUUUUGUAUUCUGUAUUUUGUACUUCUCUAUUUCUGUUGCUUUUUUCCCCCCCCAACUGCUGUUAUCUGCUACCUGUAAUACCCAUAUUGCCCCGGU